rnacentral:lncRNA from 1 species
AAAAAAAGAAAAGAUUAUCACAUCUUCUAAAAACAUACAUACUAGCCGGGUACGGUGGCUCAUGCCUGUAAUCCCAACACAUUGGGAGUCUGAGGCGGGUGGAUCACUUGAGGUCCGGAGUUCAAGACCAGCCUGGCCAACAUGGCGAAACCCCAUCUCUACUAAACUGCUGGGGAGGCUGAGGCGGGAGGAUCACUUGAACCUAGAAGCCGGAGGUUGCGGUGAUCUGAGAUUGCGCCACUGCACUCCAGCCUGCGGCAGUGAGACUGUCUCAAAAAAAAAAAAAAGAAACAUACAUAAUAGAGCAGAAUAAAAACAAACCUGUCCUUUACCUGUCAUCUCAUAUUUUGCAAGGGCUGAGGUCCUCACAGAGAAGAGAAAUAGGCUGGGCGCUGUGGCUCAUGCUUGUAAUCCCAGCACUUUGGGAGGCUGGAUCACCUGAGGUCAGGAGUUUGAGACCAGCCUGGUCAACAUGGUGAAACCCCAUCUCUACUAAAAAUAGAAAAAAAUAACCAGGUGUGGUGGUGUGCACUCUGUAACCCCAGCUACUCAGGAGGCUGAGACAGGAGAAUCGCUUGAAACGCAGGAGGCGGAGGUUGCAGUAAGCAGAGAUUGCAUGCCACUGCACUCCAGCCUGGGCAACAAGAGUGAAACUCCAUCUCAAAAAACAAAACAAAAAAAAAAUGAGGAAGGGCAUUUCUUGCUUAGUGCCUUUUAAACACCUGAUAGAACUCUCUGGAAGCUGUGUUGGACAUGGGUGCAAGUUGCAGUAUGGUGCAGUCCUGGCUCAGUAGGAGGUUCCAUCAACCAGGAGCCCCUUUGUUAUUCUGUUUCUGUUUUUUCAUGGUGGAUAAUGUCUAUGAUGUUGUGGGUACUACAUAGGUGAGACUAUAUAGCACAGCCUCUACCUUUAUAAGUGGUGGCAAUAAGCAUGUGAUUAACUGUCAUACAACCACAGAGCAAACAGAUUUCAGGGAAAAAAAAACACACUUUAGUCCUUUAUCAAUAACGCCCCCUUUCUCAAUGGGCUAGACUCCUCUUUGUUCUUCCCUAUACCUUUAAAGAAUACAACUAUCAGCUUACAAGAAAAACUUUUCCUAAGUCCAAGGACAGGAGAGGUGCCAUUCCCGGCCUCAAGUGGAGGUUUGAUAACAACUGGCAAAAGGAGGAUUCAGUGUUAGACUAGAAAUUAGAUGAGCUGAUCCCCAGGAGCCUAUGGUUCCUUGAAUCCCUGAAUGGGAGCAUUAAGACCAGUGGAAAUGAGAAAGAAUUAUUGAUCACAUCUCUACAAAUGGGCAUAAACUGUUC